rnacentral:rRNA from 2 species
GGGUUGUGAGGUUAAGCGACUAAGCGUACACGGUGGAUGCCCUGGCAGUCAGAGGCGAUGAAGGACGUGCUAAUCUGCGAUAAGCGCCGGUAAGGUGAUAUGAACCGUUAUAACCGGCGAUUUCCGAAUGGGGAAACCCAGUGUGAUUCGUCACACUAUCAUUAACUGAAUCCAUAGGUUAAUGAGGCGAACCGGGGGAACUGAAACAUCUAAGUACCCCGAGGAAAAGAAAUCAACCGAGAUUCCCCAGUAGCGGCGAGCGAACGGGGAGGAGCCCAGAGCCUGAAUCAGCAUGUGUGUUAGUGGAAGCGUCUGGAAAGGCGCGCGAUACAGGGUGACAGCCCCGUACACAAAAGCGCAUGUGCUGUGAGCUCGAUGAGUAGGGCGGGACACGUGGUAUCCUGUCUGAAUAUGGGGGGACCAUCCUCCAAGGCUAAAUACUCCUGACUGACCGAUAGUGAACCAGUACCGUGAGGGAAAGGCGAAAAGAACCCCGGCGAGGGGAGUGAAAAAGAACCUGAAACCGUGUACGUACAAGCAGUGGGAGCACAGGUUUACCUGUGUGACUGCGUACCUUUUGUAUAAUGGGUCAGCGACUUAUAUUCUGUAGCAAGGUUAACCGUAUAGGGGAGCCGCAGGGAAACCGAGUCUUAAUUGGGCGUUAAGUUGCAGGGUAUAGACCCGAAACCCGGUGAUCUAGCCAUGGGCAGGUUGAAGGUUGGGUAACACUAACUGGAGGACCGAACCGACUAAUGUUGAAAAAUUAGCGGAUGACCUGUGGCUGGGGGUGAAAGGCCAAUCAAACCGGGAGAUAGCUGGUUCUCCCCGAAAGCUAUUUAGGUAGCGCCUCGUGAAUUCAUCUCCGGGGGUAGAGCACUGUUUCGGCUAGGGGGCCAUCCCGGCUUACCAACCCGAUGCAAACUGCGAAUACCGGAGAAUGUUAUCACGGGAGACACACGGCGGGUGCUAACGUCCGUCGUGAAGAGGGAAACAACCCAGACCGCCAGCUAAGGUCCCAAAGUCAUGGUUAAGUGGGAAACGAUGUGGGAAGGCCCAGACAGCCAGGAUGUUGGCUUAGAAGCAGCCAUCAUUUAAAGAAAGCGUAAUAGCUCACUGGUCGAGUCGGCCUGCGCGGAAGAUGUAACGGGGCUAAACCAUGCACCGAAGCUGCGGCAGCGACACUGUGUGUUGUUGGGUAGGGGAGCGUUCUGUAAGCCUGUGAAGGUGGCCUGUGAGGGUUGCUGGAGGUAUCAGAAGUGCGAAUGCUGACAUAAGUAACGAUAAAGCGGGUGAAAAGCCCGCUCGCCGGAAGACCAAGGGUUCCUGUCCAACGUUAAUCGGGGCAGGGUGAGUCGACCCCUAAGGCGAGGCCGAAAGGCGUAGUCGAUGGGAAACGGGUUAAUAUUCCCGUACUUGGUGUUACUGCGAAGGGGGGACGGAGAAGGCUAUGUUGGCCGGGCGACGGUUGUCCCGGUUUAAGCGUGUAGGUGUGUGUUCCAGGUAAAUCCGGUUCACUUUAACACUGAGGCGUGAUGACGAGGCACUACGGUGCUGAAGCAACAAAUGCCCUGCUUCCAGGAAAAGCCUCUAAGCAUCAGGUAACAUCAAAUCGUACCCCAAACCGACACAGGUGGUCAGGUAGAGAAUACCAAGGCGCUUGAGAGAACUCGGGUGAAGGAACUAGGCAAAAUGGUGCCGUAACUUCGGGAGAAGGCACGCUGACAUGUAGGUGAAGUGAUUUACUCAUGGAGCUGAAGUCAGUCGAAGAUACCAGCUGGCUGCAACUGUUUAUUAAAAACACAGCACUGUGCAAACACGAAAGUGGACGUAUACGGUGUGACGCCUGCCCGGUGCCGGAAGGUUAAUUGAUGGGGUCAGCGCAAGCGAAGCUCCUGAUCGAAGCCCCGGUAAACGGCGGCCGUAACUAUAACGGUCCUAAGGUAGCGAAAUUCCUUGUCGGGUAAGUUCCGACCUGCACGAAUGGCGUAAUGAUGGCCAGGCUGUCUCCACCCGAGACUCAGUGAAAUUGAACUCGCUGUGAAGAUGCAGUGUACCCGCGGCAAGACGGAAAGACCCCGUGAACCUUUACUAUAGCUUGACACUGAACAUUGAGCCUUGAUGUGUAGGAUAGGUGGGAGGCUUUGAAGCGUGGACGCCAGUCUGCGUGGAGCCGGCCUUGAAAUACCACCCUUUAAUGUUUGAUGUUCUAACGUGGACCCGUGAUCCGGGUUGCGGACAGUGUCUGGUGGGUAGUUUGACUGGGGCGGUCUCCUCCUAAAGAGUAACGGAGGAGCACGAAGGUUGGCUAAUCCUGGUCGGACAUCAGGAGGUUAGUGCAAUGGCAUAAGCCAGCUUGACUGCGAGCGUGACGGCGCGAGCAGGUGCGAAAGCAGGUCAUAGUGAUCCGGUGGUUCUGAAUGGAAGGGCCAUCGCUCAACGGAUAAAAGGUACUCCGGGGAUAACAGGCUGAUACCGCCCAAGAGUUCAUAUCGACGGCGGUGUUUGGCACCUCGAUGUCGGCUCAUCACAUCCUGGGGCUGAAGUAGGUCCCAAGGGUAUGGCUGUUCGCCAUUUAAAGUGGUACGCGAGCUGGGUUUAGAACGUCGUGAGACAGUUCGGUCCCUAUCUGCCGUGGGCGCUGGAGAACUGAGGGGGGCUGCUCCUAGUACGAGAGGACCGGAGUGGACGCAUCACUGGUGUUCGGGUUGUCAUGCCAAUGGCACUGCCCGGUAGCUAAAUGCGGAAGAGAUAAGUGCUGAAAGCAUCUAAGCACGAAACUUGCCCCGAGAUGAGUUCUCCCUGAGACUUAGAGUCUCCUGAAGGAACGUUGAAGACGACGACGUUGAUAGGCCGGGUGUGUAAGCGCAGCGAUGCGUUGAGCUAACCGGUACUAAUGAACCGUGAGGCUUAACCUUACAACGCCGAAG